rnacentral:rRNA from 1 species
GACGAACGCUGGCGGCGUGCUUAACACAUGCAAGUCGAACGGAAAGGCCCUGCUUUUGUGGGGUGCUCGAGUGGCGAACGAGUGAGUAACACGUGAGUAACCUGCCCUUGACUUUGGGAUAACUUCAGGAAACUGGGGCUAAUACCGGAUAGGAGCUCCUGCUGCAUGGUGGGGGUUGGAAAGUUUCGGCGGUUGGGGAUGGACUCGCGGCUUAUCAGCUUGUUGGUGGGGUAGUGGCUUACCAAGGCUAUGACGGGUAGCCGGCCUGAGAGGGUGAUCGGCCACCCUGGAAGUGAGACACGGUCCAGAGGGCUACGGGAGGCAGCCGUAGGGAAUCUGCCGGCAUGAGCGGAGGCCUGACGGAGAAGCGCCGCGGGCUGGAUGAGGGUCUUCGCAUCGUGAAACUCUGUUAUUGGGUAAGAAACAAUGUGUAAGUGACUAUGCACGUCUUGACGGUACCUGAUCAGAAAGCCACGGCCAACUUACUG